UACGAAGGGGGCUAGCGUUGCUCGGAAUCACUGGGCGUAAAGAGCUCGUAGGCGGUUUGUCGCGUCUGCUGUGAAAUCUGGAGGCUCAACCUCCAGCCUGCAGUGGGUACGGGCAGACUAGAGUGCGGUAGGGGAGAUUGGAACUCCUGGUGUAGCGGUGGAAUGCGCAGAUAUCAGGAAGAACACCGAUGGCGAAGGCAGAUCUCUGGGCCGUAACUGACGCUGAGGAGCGAAAGCAUGGGGAGCGAACAGG
rnacentral:rRNA from 1 species